rnacentral:rRNA from 1 species
UGUCAUGCCCUUAGAUGUUCUGGGCCGCACGCGCGUUACAAUGGAACGUCCCAAAGCGUGCUCAUUUUAGGGCGUUCCCGCAAUCUACAGGUUGCGGUAACCCCUAAGUCUUUCCCUGACUGGGCUAGACUAUUGCAAUUAUUGGUCUUAAACGAGGAAUUUUAGUAGGCACGGGUCAUUAUCCCGUGCCGAAUGCGUCCCUGCCCUUUGUAA